rnacentral:rRNA from 1 species
CUGCUCGAAGAUCUUAGUGGCGGACGGGUGAGUAACGCGUGGGCAAUCUGCCCGUAAGAGGGGGAUAACACCUAGAAAUGGGUGCUAAUACCGCAUAACAUCAUAGGGUUGCAUGACCUUGUGAUCAAAGGAGAAAUCCGCUUACGGAUGAGCCCGCGUCUGAUUAGCUAGUUGGUGGGGUAACGGCCUACCAAGGCGACGAUCAGUAGCCGGCCUGAGAGGGUGAUCGGCCACACUGGAACUGAGACACGGUCCAGACUCCUACGGGAGGCAGCAGUGGGGAAUCUUCCGCAAUGGGCGAAAGCCUGACGGAGCAACGCCGCGUGAGUGAUGAAGGCCUUCGGGUUGUAAAACUCUGUCUUCAGGGAAGAAAAAAAUGACGGUACCUGAGGAGGAAGCCACGGCUAACUACGUGCCAGCAGCCGCGGUAAUACGUAGGUGGCAAGCGUUGUCUGGAAUUACUGGGCGUAAAGAGCGCGUAGGCGGGGAUUUAAGUCAGGAGUGAAAACUACCGGCCCAACCGGUAGCCUGCUCUUGAAACUGAAUCUCUUGAGGGUAUGAGAGGAAAGCGGAAUUCCCAGUGUAGCGGUGAAAUGCGUAGAUAUUGGGAGGAACACCAGUGGCGAAGGCGGCUUUCUGGCAUACAACUGACGCUGAGGCGCGAAAGCGUGGGGAGCAAACGGGAUUAGAUACCCCGGUAGUCCACGCCGUAAACGAUGGGCACUAGGUGUAGGAGGUAUCGACCCCUUCUGUGCCGUAGUUAACACAAUAAGUGCCCCGCCUGGGGAGUACGGCCGCAAGGUUGAAACUCAAAGGAAUUGACGGGGGCCCGCACAAGCGGUGGAGUAUGUGGUUUAAUUCGACGCAACGCGAAGAACCUUACCAGGGCUUGACAU